rnacentral:tRNA from 1 species
GGUGUAGCUCAGUGUAGAGCACUUGCCUAACAUGCACGAGGCCCUGGGUGCAAUCCCCAGUAUAACA